UACGGGGGGGGGCAAGCGUUGUUCGGAAUUACUGGGCGUAAAGGGCUCGUAGGUGGCCAACUAAGUCAGACGUGAAAUCCCCUCGGCUUAACCGGGGAACUGCGUCUGAUACUGGAUGGCUUGAGAUUGGGAGAGGGAUGCGGAAUUCCAGGUGUAGCGGUGAAAUGCGUAGAUAUCUGGAGGAACACCGGUGGCGAAGGCGGCAUCCUGGACCAACACUGACGCUGAGGAGCGAAAAGCCAGGGGAGCAAACGGGAUUAAGAU
rnacentral:rRNA from 1 species